GACGAACCGUGCGAACGUUAUUCGGAUUCACUGGGCUUAAAGGGCGCGUAGGCGGGCUCGCCAGUCCGGGGUGAAAUCUUUCGGCUUAACCGGAAAAGUGCCUCGGAUACUGCGAGCCUUGAGGGAGGUAGGGGCAUGUGGAACUUCCGGUGGAGCGGUGAAAUGCGUUGAUAUCGGAAGGAACGCCGGUGGCGAAAGCGGUUCUCUGGGCAUUACCUGACGCUGAGGAGCGAAAGUGUGGGGAGCGAACAGGAUUAG
rnacentral:rRNA from 1 species